AGAUUGGUAUUGCUCUCUUCGUUUCGGCCCGCGGUUGAGCGGCGGCACCAGCCGGUUUCGCCAGAGUUACCUCAUUUGCUUCUUGGAUUUCAUCACAAUAGAGUUCUGCAUACUAUGUGUGGCGACAUCUAUCGCGUGACUUACGAACUACGUAACUAAGAACUGACGCAUCCUACAUUGCGAUAUCAAAGUUAUUACAGCAAUUAAGUAUAUAUACAAGAAACCAACAACAACUGUCGGGCCAAUCCUCUCUAAUCAACGGUGGAUGAGGAACUCAACAUCCCGUUCCUCACACCCCUAAACUGGUGACCCCGACGUGAUCAUCAAUACAGCUUUCGCAAGCUACGUCAUUGUGACAUCACCCCCAAACAUCAUUUAAUGAUUAAAUGUUUUGAUGCGUUUUUGUUUGUAUUAUUUGCGUAUCGUUAUAUAUAU
rnacentral:misc_RNA from 1 species